rnacentral:lncRNA from 1 species
ACUUUUUCAACUUAGUUUCUCAUGAUGUAGCUUUCUAAAUUUACCUUUUUUUGGAUCCCUUCUUUGGCAUUCUUAGUAAAUCUAUCUAAGAGUGAUCUUAGCUUCUUGAAAUAUUCUCAAUAUGCACUCUAAUAACCUAUUAGUAUCAAAAUAUAUACUCAAAUAUCUUAUAUUUAUUAAAAUCAAUCUUUGGGUCAAUAGCUCCAAAUCCUUGGUAUUGCUUAGACAUAAGUCACGGGUAGGAUCUUGGUUUAGGAUCAAACCUCUAGAAUGAAGGCUUUACAAAGAAGGCAAUCCAAUAGAGUUUCUACCAAAAUAAUUUAAUCCGAGAUGUUGCUUAAGCUUCC